rnacentral:rRNA from 1 species
UACGUAGGUGGCAAGCGUUAUCCGGAUUUAUUGGGCGUAAAGAGAACGCAGGCGGUCUUUUAAGUCUGAUGUGAAAGCCUUCGGCUUAACCGGAGUAGUGCAUUGGAAACUGGGAGACUUGAGUGCAGAAGAGGAGAGUGGAACUCCAUGUGUAGCGGUGAAAUGCGUAGAUAUAUGGAAGAACACCAGUGGCGAAAGCGGCUCUCUGGUCUGUAACUGACGCUGAGGUUCGAAAGCGUGGGUAUCGAACAGG